UUCAUUUUUAACAUAAAACAGAAGAGAUCCAAUACAAGAAGAAGACAUGAUCCAUGAACUUGUGUGACUUUCAUGACUUUAACCAAACCAAUCAGAGGUUAACAAUGGUGGGCUUAAAGUCAACUAUAAUAACCUUUUCCAAGCUAGGAAGAAACAAAUUUGCAAACUCAACAUGUGCAGGAUGAGCCCCAUACUCUGCAAUGGCUUCCACACUAUCAAAGGUUGAUUCAAACACAUGAGUAAAACCUUGGUGCAGGUUUUCAGCACUUACAUCCGUGCCCCUAUAAUACAUAUACGAGGAUUGUUAAUUUCAUAGAUCUAGAUCUUAGAAUUCUACAAUUUUGGUUGAUUGGAAAGAGAUCCAGAUUCUGCAAAUCGAAAAGGAAAACAGGGUUGAAUGAAAUAGUGAGUAGGUACCAGUGGAAUGACUUCAUGACUGGGAUGAGAUUGACGAGAUUGGCAUAGCCCUUGAUGAGUUCGUCGAUUCGCUGUUGAGUGAUGUCGUCCUUGAACUUUCCGAGGAGUAUGUGUAUCACUAUUCCAUUUGCUUCUGCCAUUUCUUUUCUUCCUUUUCGUUUCCCACUUGCUAAACUAUAGUCUCUCCGAAAUAAUACUUUAAUAAUGCUGCACCGUAGCUGUACACAUAUGUUCAAUCAAAAUACUUUAAGAUAUUAAAUCAUAUAAAUAAUUUAAAAUUUACACGGACUUGAUCGAGAAACAUGAAUGUCGUUGGUUGUCAGUGUAAAAAUAAUUUUCAGUCAAAGUUGAUCAUCCUUUUUUUUUUAAAAUAAAUAUCACUUUAAUAAAAUAAAUUGUUUUAAAAUAGAUCUCAUUUUUUCACUUUUCACUUUAAUAAAGGAAAGAAAGCCUCAAUCAGAACCAGCUAAGUGUCUGACUUUAUUUGUCAUGGUUCCCCACUAUUGUGUCUAACAAAUGAAGGCUAUCUUUAUUUAACAUUAAUCUAACCAAAGAUUUUAAUGGCUUCAUCUUAGUGAAGAUGCAAUUGUUUACAAUUCCUUUAUUGAAUAAAUUUGAAACCUGAAAGUAGAGGCUUUGCCAUGAACGUCGAAAGCUAAAAACAUGUGUCAAGAACAACUAGUAAAACUAAUGAGCUUUAUAUAAUCAAGCUUGCUAUUAAGAAACCAAAUGUGAUUUUAGGACAAGUAUGCUUGAGAGCCAUUGCCAAGAAACUAAUGAGGUUUGGAUCAGAAAAGGAUGAAGACAUUUAUAUGUCCAAUGACAGUACGAGUAAUGAUGAUCUAAAGAUACAAAAUAAACAAACUGCAAAGACAUGAAGGAAGAAUAAAAGAUACAAAAUCAUUUCCUGAUGAUGAGUCUAUAUACAAUCUAUACGUGACAAUUUCAAGUGUCCCCUCCAGAAGGAGAUUUCAUGUCCUGAUCAUUUGAAGUACUAGUUGUUGCUGAUGUCGGAUUUCUUAUGUUUCCAUCUCCCACUGAUGGAGUUGUUGGCAAAAUUUCAGACGUACAAGCUUCUUCUUUGAUGGAGCUGUUGGGAUCAAUGUUGGCCCCAAUCAUCUGAUCAACCAAAACAUAAAGAUUGUUACUAACUUUUAACACCACUGGUUGAGAUUUAUGCAGUCUCGCGUGAAUUUCCAUCAAUCAAUAAUCGAAAUAGGAUAUGCUUACUUGAAGAGGGACGGCUGCUAUGGGAUUUUUUUCAUCAUUUCGAGCAAUCUCUGCAAUUCUUGCACCUGUUUUCUUAGCAGUGUUUGUGUUGAAUAAGGCCGCAGUAAUCUAAUUGAACAAAAAGAUGAAGAUUGUUACUCGCUUAAAUAAAAACGAAUGAGUGCAGCCAUUUUGAAUAUGAUCUGCUUACUUUAACAUGCCUGGCCACUAUGAGAGAAUUGACAGAAGCAUUUGCAAACGGUUUUCCCUUAUCAUCUAUGCAUGUAACCAUACAUGUUGCCUUUGCACGACAGUGACGACCAGCACCAUCAACCAGACUUUUUAUCGACAUUAAAUGUAUCUCAAAUUCUCCCUACAUGCAUAUAGGAAAUUCGAAUAAACGGCACACACACACACACACAACACAAAUCAAAAGAUAUGAUUUAACCUUGAUGUGGAUGGGACCGUCUGGAGUAAGACUCACAAUGUCUGAUACAGAACCCGAUGCAGAAAGUAUGAUAACAGUUUUACGACGAUUUUCCACAGAUAUAUUGUAUAGAACCUCUACCACAUCCUGCAAAUCAUAUGUUCAGUAAAUGUAAUACAAAAUUGCAUCUGAAAUGUUAACAUUAGUCAGUUCAUGUAAUACCUGGCGAGCAUUCAACUCAAUCACAUGAGAAGGUCAUUUUGGUUUAUACACAUACCUGAUGCGAUGCUAGAAGUAAAAUAGAUGAUAUUACUAGGGUAUCAUCCCACAAAUGCAUACAAGUAGUACAAUCCAAGAACUAAAUUGUAGAAAAACAUUAGAGGAAAUAAAUGUUCAUUUUUAACAUAAAACAGAAGAGAUCCAAUACAAGAAGAAGACAUGAUCCAUGAACUUGUGUGACUUUCAUGACUUUAACCAAACCAAUCAGAGGUUAACAAUGGUGGGCUUAAAGUCAACUAUAAUAACCUUUUCCAAGCUAGGAAGAAACAAAUUUGCAAACUCAACAUGUGCAGGAUGAGCCCCAUACUCUGCAAUGGCUUCCACACUAUCAAAGGUUGAUUCAAACACAUGAGUAAAACCUUGGUGCAGGUUUUCAGCACUUACAUCCGUGCCCCUAUAAUACAUAUACGAGGAUUGUUAAUUUCAUAGAUCUAGAUCUUAGAAUUCUACAAUUUUGGUUGAUUGGAAAGAGAUCCAGAUUCUGCAAAUCGAAAAGGAAAACAGGGUUGAAUGAAAUAGUGAGUAGGUACCAGUGGAAUGACUUCAUGACUGGGAUGAGAUUGACGAGAUUGGCAUAGCCCUUGAUGAGUUCGUCGAUUCGCUGUUGAGUGAUGUCGUCCUUGAACUUUCCGAGGAGUAUGUGUAUCACUAUUCCAUUUGCUUCUGCCAUUUCUUUUCUUCCUU
rnacentral:lncRNA from 1 species